AAUAAACAAAAGAAACAAACAAAAGAAAAGAAGUACAAAAUUUAGAAAAUUCUGUGGUCUGGCUCAAAUAUCAUUUGAAGUGUACUUUGAAGCUUAUUUUGGUUUCUGCAGUACACUUUCCAAAAGAUCCUCCACCUUCUCAUCUUCAGCUCAGCUCCCAAAAUGUUCUCCGUUUUCUCCCGGAUGAAUCACCGCUUCUUUUUUGCUUUCCUAGUGGGUUAUUAACAAGCUGGAUUUGAUUAUUGUUGUGUUCAUCCUUCUCACACCAAGAGAAUCAUUGUACCAAGAUGUUUGGGGUUUAUCCACCUCCAAGUGAAUUGAAGGAGGCAGUCGUCCGGAGUUAGAAGUUUUUCUAUCUGUGAGCACGAUAUUCCUCCUUUCUUUUUCAUUUUUGCCUUAUAAUUGAAACAACUAAACCCUUCUUUUAUUACUUUUGCUAUCUGCAUCAGUGCAUGGACUUGUUUUUGUCUGUGUAAAAAAGGGAUUGUAGCUGACCUCCGGUGGAAAAUGUUAAAUCUGACACCAAGCCCCUUAGUUUUUGGUGAAGUUUUUCCUGUGCUAACAUAAUUUAGCCAACUUUGUAUAGUAGCGUUUAUGUCCCUGUAGCUUGGGCAUACUUUCCUGUUAAUAUUUCUGUUGUCCUUUUCAUGCUUAUGCUUUUUGUAUUCCUUACUGCACCAACUCUGUGUGACCAUUAAUAUCAUGCUUGUGGUUUAAUUUUU